rnacentral:rRNA from 1 species
GAGUUUGAUUAUGGCUCAGGAUGAACGCUAGCGAUAGGCUUAACACAUGCAAGUCGAGGGGCAGCAUAAUUUUAGCUUGCUAAGAUUGAUGGCGACCGGCGCACGGGUGCGUAACGCGUAUGCAACCUGCCUGUAAUUAGGGGAUAGCUCGGUGAAAGUCGAAUUAAUACCCUAUAUUCUAUGUUUUUCGCAUGAUUGAUAUAGGAAAGAUUUAUUGAUUACAGAUGGGCAUGCGUUCCAUUAGCUUGUUGGUAAGGUAACGGCUUACCAAGGCAACGAUGGAUAGGGGGACUGAGAGGUUGACCCCCCACACUGGUACUGAGACACGGACCAGACUCCUACGGGAGGCAGCAGUGAGGAAUAUUGGUCAAUGGGCGCAAGCCUGAACCAGCCAAGUCGCGUGAAGGACGACGGUCCUAUGGAUUGUAAACUUCUUUUGUAGAGGAAUAAUGAUGGCCACGAGUGGCUGAAGGGAAUUAU